rnacentral:lncRNA from 1 species
GGACGGGGCUUUUUCUCACUACAAGGACUCGUUAUUAUUUUAUUUUGCAAGCCAAGAAGGAACGGGAUCAUUUUUAUUAGAAUUUUAAUAUCGUUAUUAUUAUCAUUCUUAUGGAAAACACACUUCUGACUUAUUUGUACCGAUGAUAAACGUUGUUUACUAUUUUGACUGUGUAUAAGAAGACUGUAAAUCUGGCCAUUGGAAACAAUGAUAUUAGGGGGACUUAAAUAAUAACAUGGUUUAUUGUAGUGCUAUGAAAACAGCAUGAAAAUGUUAUCUUGUGUUUGCUUAUUCUCCUUGGUUUAAACUAAGAUCCUUCUUGGGAUAAAAAAGGAACCAUUUUGUGAAUUCAGAGGUUUUCCUCACAAUGGUAAUAUCAAUACUGUUAUGCUUAUCUUCCCCUGUUCAUAAUGCUGUAAAUUCAUUUCUUGAAAAACAUUUAGAAAUUGUUUCAUUAUUAUAAAUACAUGUUUAACAUUUAAUAAUAGAAGUAUUAAUAAUAAAUAAGACAUGAAGCUGAACUGUGAGAGGUGGCUGUGAUGGCCACUAAUAGAAGAGCAGCGAGUUCUUCCAAUAGAACAUGUCUGCUGUGUUCCAAAUACCACCCUAUUCCCUAUAAUAGUGCAUUGCUUUUGGUCAGAGAGCCCUAUGGGUCCUGGUCAGAGAGCCCUAUGGGUCCUGGUCAGAGAGCCCUAUGGGUCCUGGUCAGAAGUAGUGCACUAAGUAACAGGGUACCAUUUUCGAUGCAGACUUGGUUUUGGCUUGUUUUGGUAUUGUUUAUUUUCUUAUUUUUUAACACCACUAAACCUAAAGGGCACUUUAUCCAUCACACUAAGGUCAUGAUGCCUACCUGCCUGUUGUAUGUCUUUAAUCAUUAACUUGAAUGUGAUUUAUUUUUCAUUGAGAAGAGCACCUGUUUUCCCCGGUGCAAUAUCUACAUUUUGUCCCAAAUGGCACCCUAUUCCCAAUGUAGUGCACUACUUUUGACCAGAGCUCUAUGGGCCUUAGUCAAAAGUAGUGCACUAUAAAGGGAAUAGGGUGCCAUUUGGGACUUGCACCCAAUAGUCCUGUAAAUCUGCCUGCUGCUAAUGUAAAGUGACAGUCGUGAAGAAUGGAUCUUCACACUCGUCCUCCUCUCUCUCUCUCUCUCUCUACUCUGUUAUCUGUACAUCCCUCUCCCUCUAUUCCUGCUCCACUAAGUGGUUCACUAGAUUCCUCCCUCUCUCCCUAUGUACUUCUUUUUUUAGGGGUUGUUCUUUUUUUAUUAAUGGGGGAAAAAAAUUAAAAGUUAACUUUUGUUAAAUUCCACAACUCCACAACAAGCCCUUGCGGUUCAUAUAACUUGAGUCAAAUUAAAACUGAAACAUGGAAACUCAGUGUUGUUGUGUGAAAUGGUUCUUGUUUUAACAUCCAAUGAUACUUCUUAGAGCGUUCUGUUGACUUUGUGUACGUCGUUUUAGGUGAAAAUGCAGCCAAAAAAGGCCUCAGAGUUUAACUGAUAAACCUCCCCCUAAUUUUCCCCUAUUACUUAACGUUGUGUUUCGGAUAUUACAUUUUGAGACAAAGUUCUCCCUUUAACAAUUAUGGUGGUUUUCUGUUCCAUUUAUUGAUGCAAUAGCAACCGUUUCCCAUCAUUCCACUGUUUAAGCAAACAGGUUUUUACUUUCAACCAAACUUCCCUUGACCAGAAUAAAGUGGUCAUGUCCUUGACUUUUCCAGGAAGAAGAGAGCAGCUAUUGUGGAUAUUUCAUUGUGAGUACUGGACAGAUGUCUAGCUAUAUUGUGACAUUUCAUUGUGAGUACUAGGCAGAAGUCUAGCUAUAUUGUGACAUUUCAUUGUGAGUACUGGACAGAAGUCUAGCUAUAUUGGUGACAUUUCAUUGUGAGUACUGGGCAGAAGCCUAGCUGUAUGGUGACAUUUCAUUGAGUGUCAUGUCAUUCCGUAAAGAGAGAAAUGCCUAGGCAUACAUUACACAAAGCUGUUGAUGAUGCUACACGGCAGGUGUGUUUCGGUGAAGGAAACUCAGUUCAUUCACACGGGCCGAUCUAGGACUUUAUGUGUUCCAAGGACGAGCAAAUAAAAUCGUCCUGUUUGUCCUGGCACGUUAUCAAUCCCCCUCGCUAGCUCUCUCUAUCUCUCACAAUCAAACCAGGGGCCAGAAAUACUUCUAGCCACAGGGCUGAUUUUAUAAAACUAGAGAGGACACCUGGGUGUAAACUGCUGCACAAUUGUACUGUCACCAACUGAUAGUAAUACUUUUUAAAAUUUUCAAUGAAAGAUAUUUAGUAAGAGAAAUACUGUGCGUGCCCAAGGUGUUGUCGUUUCAAUCAGUGACCUAUCAAUGAGCCACAGGUCUUGAUAAACUUGACCUCAGUUCGGACUUGAUAUUGUAACACAUAAAAAUGCUCAGAGUAACAUCAAUUACAUUUUGACAUACUAUUUCUCACGUAGUGUAUGUGGACACCUGCUCGGCCAACAUCAUAACAUCUCAUAACAAAAUCAUGGGCGUUAAUAUGUAGUUGGUCCCCCCUUUGCAGCUGUAACAGCCUCCAGUCUUCUGGGAAGGCUUUCCACUAGAUGUUGGAACAUUGCUGUGGGGACUUGCUUCCAUUCAGCCAUGAGCGUUUGUGAGAUCGGGCACUGAUGUUGGGCAAUUAGGCCUGGCUCGCAGUCGGCAUUCCAAAUCAUCCCAAAGUUGUUUGAUGGGGUUGAGGUCAGGGCUCUGUGCAGGCCAGUCAAGUUCUUCCACACUGAUCUUGACAUACCAUUUCUGUAUUGACCUCGCUCUGUGCAUGGGGGCAUUGUCAUGCUGAAACAGGAAAGGGCCUUCCCUAAACUGUUGCCACAAAGUUGGAACACAGAAUCGUCUAGAAUGUCGUAUGCGGUAGCGUUAAGAUCUCCCUUCACUGGAACUAAAGGGCCUGACCCAUGAAAAACAGCCCCAGACAAUUAUUCCUCCUCCACCAAACUUUACAGUUGGCACAAUGCAUUCGGGCAGGUAGUGUUUUCCUGCCAUCCGCCAAACCCAGAUCCGUCCAGCCAGAUGGUGAAGCAUGAUUCAUCACUCCAGAUAACGCGUUUCCACUGCUCCAGAGUCCAAUGGCGAGCUUUACACCACUCCAGCCGACGCUUGGCAUUGCGCAUGUUGAUCUUAGGCUUGUGUGUGUCUGCUCGGCCUUGGAAACCCAUUUCAUGAAGCUCCCGACAAACAGUUAUUGUGCUGACGUUGCUUCCAGAGGCAGUUUGGAACUCGGAGGUGAGUGUUGCAACCGAAGACGGGCAAUUUUUAUACACUAAAGCACUCUGGUCUCAUUCUGUGAGCUUGUGUGGCCUACCACUUCAAGGCUGAGCCGUUGUUGCUCCUAGACAUUUCCACUUCGCAAUAACAGCACUUCCAGUUGACCAGGUCAGCUCUAGCAGGGCAGAAAUAUGAUAAACUGACUUGUUGGAAAGGUGGCAUCCCAUGACUGUGCCACGUUGAAAGUCACUGAGCUCUUCAGUAAGGUCAUCUUACUGCCAUUGUUUGUCCAUAGAGAUUACAUGGCUGUGUGCACCUGCCAGCUAUGGGUGUGGCUGAAAUUACCGAAUCCACUCAUUUGAAAGGGUGUCCAUAUACUUUUGUAUAUAGUGUAUCAUGUACACAGUGUCCAGACUUUUCUUUGGGGAAAGCUUGUUGUUGGAGAUGUGAAAAGGUAAAUAGUAUGAUUAUUGUUCACAAGAUCACAUCAGUAAGAGUACCAACAUACUGUAUGUCCCAACAAAUAUGAAUUAAUUGUCAGAUCUGUUAUGACAGUUUGUUAACAACGGCUCAAGGUAAGAUUUCGAGAUUCUUAUCUCCUAUAUGGCCCCGGGGGCCAUGUCCAACUUUUCAAAGUGAAGCUGUCGACCAUUUGAAUUGGUCAUACUGCAGGCUACAGUAGACUAGAGGAUGGUGACAGGCAAGGGGACUUUGGUAAGACCUCAGAAGAACACUGCACCAUGUAGACAGUGAUAUGUACAGUUCUGUCUGACUAAGAUAACAACUGUCGUCGUCAUAUGGGGUUUCAUGUUCUCUCGUUGGCACGAGGAUCUUCAUCACAGGUAUUAGAACCUUUUUUUUUUAAACACAAAAAGAUGGAGGCCAAUACAUGCAAUGAAGGGAACGUGAAGUUGCUACCUUUACAGUUCCUAUCGUUAUGAAUAACUAUAAAUUACAGUUACAAAGAUAUUGUGUAUGAUAGUCUUU